rnacentral:snoRNA from 1 species
CCUGCCCCUAGAAGAGUGGCAGGCUUGGCUGCUGUGUCACAUGGACGUCAGUAGAGGCUAUGAGUUCUGACCUACGGACAUUUAGAAGGAUUAGAAGCCUAACUCU